CCUACGGGUGGCAGCAGUGAGGAAUAUUGGUCAAUGGACGGAAGUCUGAACCAGCCAUGCCGCGUGCAGGAAGACGGCUCUAUGAGUGGUAAACUGCUUUUGUACAAGGGUAAACCGGAAUACGUGUAUGCAGCUGAAAGUACGGUACGAAUAAGGAUCGGCUAACUCCGUGCCAGCAGCCGCGGUAAUACGGAGGAUCCAAGCGUUAUCCGGAUUUAUUGGGGUUAAAGGGUGCGUAGGCGGAUUGCUAAGUUAGAGGUGAAAGUUCCGCGCUUACCACGGGAACGGCCUCUAAUACUGUUGUUCUAGAGCUUCGUUGCGGUAGGCGGACUGUCUGGUGUAGCGGU
rnacentral:rRNA from 1 species